UCUCUAUUUCGUAUUUAUAUUAGUGAAAACCUACUUCGAAACACACUUCCGUGAUUAUUUUACGUCGUUACAUCAUUUUGCCGUGUUACAUAUAACAUUACAGUUUAUUUAGUUUAUAUAAAAAUCUCAGUUUUACAAUGCAGGCGACAGAUGACGAGAACGAGAUCAUUCAUUAGAGUCUCGGUCGGUUUUUUUUAUUAUCAAUGCUAGGUUAGUUAAUAACGAGAAGCUAUCGCCAUUUCCAGAUCAAGGGGUCGUUCUCGAGCCGCGGCGGUGUCGCCAGCCCCAACCCGUACUCCCGCGGCAACGCCUGCGCCAACUGCUGGCACGUGCUGUGCGGACCCCUCGCCCCCAGUCUCAUAGACCGACGUGGCCUGGUGACCGUGGAGGGCGAGCUUCCGGCCGGGUUCGCGCCCCCCGCGCCCCCCGUGACCGCCGCGCCCCCCGCGCCCGGCGCCCCCCGCCCCGCAACCACCUUCAUCACUGCGCCGCACCACGGUUGCGAGAUGGCGCCGCGCCACGCCUACAUGAACCACAGCCUGGACCUGGACCCCGUGCCGCUGCAAGAGAUAUGCAUCGGCGGAGGGCGGCACGAGGCGCGGGGCG